rnacentral:miRNA from 1 species
UUGUUGAUCAGUGCUAAUCCUCGAUACUCGAAGGAGAGGUCGUCCGUGUUGUCUUCUCUUUAUUUAUGAUGAAACAUACACGGGAAACCUCUUUUUUAGUAUCAAAUC